UACGUAGGGUGCAAGCGUUGUCCGGAAUUAUUGGGCGUAAAGAGCUCGUAGGCGGUUUGUCGCGUCUGCUGUGAAAACGCGAGGCUCAACCUCGCCCCUGCAGUGGAUACGGGCAGACUAGAGGCAGGUAGGGGAGAAUGGAAUUCCCGGUGUAGCGGUGAAAUGCGCAGAUAUCGGGAGGAACACCGGUGGCGAAGGCGGUUCUCUGGGCCUGACCUGACGCUGAGGAGCGAAAGCGUGGGGAGCGAACAGG
rnacentral:rRNA from 1 species